UACGGGGGGAGCAAGCGUUGUUCGGAUUUACUGGGCGUAAAGGGCGCGUAGGCGGCCAGCACAAGUCAGUUGUGAAAUCUCCGAGCUUAACUCGGAAAGGUCAACUGAUACUGUGCGGCUAGAGUGCAGAAGGGGCAACUGGAAUUCUUGGUGUAGCGGUGAAAUGCGUAGAUAUCAAGAGGAACACCUGCGGCGAAGGCGGGUUGCUGGGCUGACACUGACGCUGAGACGCGAAAGCGUGGGGAGCGAACAGG
rnacentral:rRNA from 1 species